rfam:Physcomitrella patens subsp. patens PHYPAscaffold_266 genomic scaffold, whole genome shotgun sequence.
UUUGUGAUGCUAAUACGGUCUUGUCAAUGUUUAGGGGCAAAGGUGCAACUAUGCAACAUCCCUGGUGCGAGCUCUUGAUCGCGUAAGUGUUGCUAGUGCCCUCCACCCCUAAAUGUUGGCAAGACCUAAUUGGCGCACAAC